UUCCUCAAGUAAAUGUAUUUCGUUACAAUGUUAUGAUACAAUAUUUUUUGACAGAAAAAAAGAAAACCAAAUAUGACAACCAUCAAGGGUUUUUAUUUUAGCCUUGGUUGGUUAUUAGAGAGUUGGAUUUAUUUUUGGAAGAAAUUCCAUCUUAUGGAGUCGUCCUCUCCUCGAAUUCGAAGCUUCGAACAACUUCCUCUGCCUAUUGAGUUCGAGUCUCUGAUUGAAUCCUCUAACGCUCCCGCUGUUUUCAAAGGUUGCGUUAACGACUGGAAAGCUUUCUCCAAGUGGAAGCCUUCCAAUGGUGGUCUCGACUAUUUGCUGGAACGGGUAGGAUCAUGUGUUGUGGAGGCUAUGCUAUCUAAAUCUGCACCCGUCUUCUACGGUGAUCUUAGAAGCCACGAGAGGGUCCAUUUACCAUUUUCCAAUUUCAUUGGUUUCUGUAAGAAACGUUUGCAAAAUGCUGAAGAUGGUGCCAGUGGUAAUUUCGAAGUGGAAAGCCAUGGGAUAGCAGAGUCUGAAUCUGUUGAUGGGUGUUUGACCUAUGAUGGUGUUGCUCAACAAAUAUAUUUAGCUCAGGUGCCAAUUAUGCAUGUUGAUAAUGAAGAUAAGGUUCAGUUGGAAACACUCAGAGAAGAUAUUCAUACGCCUCUAUUUUUGAAGGAAAAGGUUUUAGCUUCUGUCAACUUGUGGAUGAACAGUGCUCAAGCUAGAUCAAGUACUCACUAUGAUCCACACCAUAACCUUCUAUGCUUAGUUUCUGGCUGUAAACGAGUGCUUUUAUGGCCUCCUUCUGCCAGUCCCAUGUUAUAUCCUAUGCCUAUAUAUGGGGAGGCAUCAAAUCACAGUUUGCUUGCCGUAGAAAAUCCAGAUUUAUUAGUUUAUCCACGAGCAAAAUGCUUAAUGGAGAACUCACAGAAGAUUAUUCUCCAUGCAGGUGAUGCCCUCUUCAUUCCCGAAGGAUGGUUCCACCAAGUGGAUAGUGAUGAUUUGACUAUAGCAGUUAACUUUUGGUGGCGGUCCAAUAUAAUGUCAGGCAUGUCAGAACAUAUGGAUGCCUAUUAUUUGCGAAGAAUAUUAAAAAGAUUGGCAGACAAGGAAAUGAAUGAAGUCCUAUGUAAAUCGUCAUCUGCAGAGAUACAGAAUAUGAAGAGGCAUACAUGUGCACUGCCUAGUACUGGAGAAGCAGAUUCUAGCACUGGUGAGUUAGAUUUAGCAUGUGGAAGAAAGGGUUUGAAAGGAAAAGAUCUAGAUCAGAGAGCUAAGUUGAAUGAUCUGGAACAACAUGCCGUUCAGGCUCUUCAUGAACUGGUUUCUUUAGUUCAUGACCGCAUUAGCACUGCUGAUUGUGGUGAACUUGUGCAUUCUGAAUCAAAAAGCAAUUCCGGUGUUAGUGCUGCAGUUGAAGGCAAGAAAGCUAUGAAAACUAAUUCCUUUAGCUUUGAAGAUGACCCAGUAUCUAAAAUCCUGUGGAACCUUGAACCAAGCACUCUUGAAAGUGUCUUUCUUGCCAUGGCGUUCAACUUCCCAAGAACUUUGGAGGCUUUAAUACUUCACUUGCUUUCACCAGUAGCAGCAGAAGUCCUUACACGUAAAUUUGAUGAGCUAGAUCAACUGAAAACCGAGGAAGAUCGGAACAAGUUCUACCAGGUUUUCUAUGGUGCCUUUGAUGACCAGUUUGCUGCAAUGGAUGCCAUUCUAAAUGGGAAAGAAUCAUUUGCACUCCAGCCAGGCCUUGACAGCAGCACCACCCGAGCCUUUCCCAUUUUCUCCAGCCCAAAUCACUCAACUCCAUCAGCUAUUGAGCACGACAACCAAUGCUUCCGCAUCUGAUCCUUCGUCUACUUCCACUCAAGGUACCUCUGCUGCCUUCAAUGCUCAAAAAUCUGCCUGGAUAGUAGACUUUGGGGCUUCGGACCAUAUGACUGGUCAGUCCAGUCACUUUACCACUUAUACUCCUUGCCUAGGAUAUGUCCUCGGGGAAGAUGAUUGGGAAUGCGAAGGCAGGUAGCGGGUUGUAUUACUUUGAUCCGUUUCCUCCUGCUCAAGUUGAUAACGCUUUUAUUUCUGGUUGUAUUUCUGCCAAUAGUAAUGAUAUAAUUCGGUGGCAUUAUAGGCUAGGUCACCCUAGUUUUUCAUAUUUAAAAUAUUUAUUUCCUAAGUUGUUCCAGAAUAAAGACUUGAGCUUACUUAAAUGUGAAAUUUGUCAAUUCGCCAAACAUACACGUGCUGUUUUUCGUUCUAUGCCCUACAAAUCAACUCAACCUUUUAAUUUUAUUCAUAGUGAUAUAUGGGGACCAUCUAGAAUAACCAAUACUACAAAUACAAAAUGGUUUAUCACUUUUAUUGAUGAUCACACACGUGUUAGUUGGGUGUUUUUGCUUAAAUCCAAAUCUGAUGCUGCCAUGGUUUUUAAAAAUUUCCACUAUGAUCAAAAAUCAAUUCAAUGCAAAUCUCCAAGUCUUACACACUGACAAUGGAACUGAAUAUUUCAACUCAAUCUUAGGUGAUUAUCUUCUUUCUCAUGGCAUUGUGCAUAAAAGUUCAUGUGCAGGCACACCCCAACAAAAUGGGAUUGCUGAACAAAAAAAUAGACACCUGUUGGAAAUUGCUAGAGCAAUUAUGUUCACAACCUCAGUUCCAAAACAUUUUUGGGGUGAGGCAAUCCUCACUUCUGCCUAUCUUAUCAAUAGAAUGCCCUCUCGAGUGUUGAACUUUCACACUCCUCUAUCUAUGCUUCUCAAGGUAUAUCCAAAUACACCGCUGGUUUCUAAUCUUCCCUUGAAAACAUUUGGGUGUGUUACUUAUGUUCAUGUUCUCGGUCCAAACCGAUCUAAGUUUGAUCCUAGAGCCCUUAAAUGCGUCUUUUUGGGUUAUUCUUCUACAAAAAAGGGAUACAAGUGCUAUCAUCCCCCUACUCGUCGUCUCUAUGUCUCCAUAGAUGUUACAUUUCAUGAAGAAACACCCUUUUAUCCCAAACUUUCACUUCAGGGAGGGACAGUGAGUGAUGUUUCUAGUUGGGAUACCUGUCUUCCCAAGGCUUUUCCUGAAAUUUCAGAGUUUCCAAACUCAUCUGAGCAACAACAAUCUCCGCCACCUAAGACUAAGGAGCUCUUAGUCUACUCUCGGCGACCAAAACAUCAUCAAGUAAUACAGUCCACUAAUGCUCCAACAUCUCAUGAAUCUGAUCCACAGAUUACACAGAUUACUCCUGAUGUAAGUAAUCCUUCUCUUGAACCUAUUUUACUUGAUAAUAUUCCAAAUGUUGAGUCUUCCAGUGUGAUUGAACCUGAGUCUGAGUUACCUAUUGCCAAAACAAAGGGAGUUUGGAGUUGUACUCAACACCCAAUGUCCAGAUAUGUUUGCUAUAGUAAACUCACUCCUUACUAUAGAGCCUUCCUGUCAAAAGUUGAGCAAGUGGUAGUUCCCAAGGAUAUUGCCGAGGCACUUGCAGAAAAAGAAUGGAAACAAGUAGUGUAUGACGAAAUUAGGGCGUUAGAAGCCAACACCACAUGGACAAUUGUCAAUUAGCCUAGAGAUAAACAUGUGGUAGGGUGUAAAUGGGUGUUUACAGUUAAGCACAAGGCUGAUGGAACAAUUGACCGGUACAAGGCAAGACUAGUUGCAAAGGGAUUCACUCAAACAUAUGGUGUAGAUUACAAUGAGACAUUUGCUCUUGUUGCAAAGCUAAAAACUGUGAGGGUCCUGUUAUCUAUUGCUGCCAAUCUAGAUUGGCCCUUACAGCAGCUAGACAUCAAAAAUGCCUUUCUCAAUGGAUAUAUGGAGGAAGAAGUUUAUAUGAGAAUUCCUCCAGGCUUCGAAGAUAGAUAUGGAAAAGAGAAUGUAUGUCAUCUGAAAAAAUCUCUAUGGUCUAAAACAGUCUCCAAGGGCAUGGUUCGAAAGACUUAAUCAGGUGAUAAAAAGGCAUGGUUACAAACAAGCUCAAUCUGAUCACACACUGUUUUUCCAACACUCACAAAAGGGUAAGGUGACUAUCCUCAUUGUUUAUGUCGAUGAUAUGAUAAUAACAGGUGAUGAUUAUGAAGAGCAAGACAAGCUUAAAGGUGUACUAGCCCAGGAGUUUGAAGUGAAAGGCCUUGGACCUAUGAAAUACUUUCUAGGUAAGGAGGUGGCAAGGACUAAACAAGGAAUUUCAGUAUCAUAGAGAAAAUACAUUUUGGAUCUUCUCAAAGAAACUGGAAUGAGUGGUUGUAAACCUGUAGCAACUCCAGUUGAACCAAAAGGCAAGUACGAAAGGAAUACGAAAGAGAAGACGGUAGACAAGGGAAUGUAUCAACAAUUAGUGGGUAAACUAAUCUACUUGUCUCAUACCCGACCCAACAUUGCUUUCGCCGUGAGCCUGGUUAGUCAAUACAUGCACAAUCCUCUUGAAGAACAUUUAGAAGCUGUGUACAAAAUCUUACGUUACCUAAAGAAAACACCUGGGACUGGCUUAUUGUUCAAGAAAAAUGAAAAACGAGGUGUUGAGGCAUUCACCGAUGCUGAUUGGGCAGGAUCAGUUGAGGAUAGAAGAUCAACCACUGGCUAUUGUACCAAAGUUUGGGGGAACUUAGUUACUUGGAGAAGUAAAAAACAAUCAGUAGUAGCUCGAAGUAGUGCAGAAGUGGAACUUAGAGCUCUUGCUCAAGGAGUAUGCGAGCUAAUCUGGAUUAAACGUAUAUUUGAAGAGCUGAAACUUCAAAGAACGAAGCCUUUAAAGUUAUAUAGUGACAGCAAAUCAGCAAUCAGCAUUGCACAUAACCCAGUUCAUCAUGAUAGGACGAAGCAUGUGGAAGUGGAUAGACACUUCAUUAAAGAAAAAAUUGAAGAAAAAGAGUUAUGUGUUGUGUAUGUUCCCAGCAAACAACAGCAGGCUGAUAUUCUAACUAAAGGCUUAUCGAAAGACAGUUUUAAUGAGAUUGUUUUCAAGCUAGGCAUGUGGAAUCUCUAUGCACCAGCUUGAGGGAGGGUGUAGAAAAUAUUGUUUUUUAUUUUCUGUUAUUAUUUUAAUUAAUUCGGUAUCCCUCAAGAAUGGGAAACCAAUCUGUACACAAUAUAUUUUUUCAUUUUUUGGAGGAUUUUAGGUUGAUUUAGUACCAUUGUAAUUGCCCUAGAAUAUUUGGUAUUUAAUACCAAAUUAGUCUAUAGUUUGUAAAGUGCCUAUUUAAAUGGCAGUGCUCUCAAAGAAAUUAUAUCUCAGAAUAUAUUUUCCACAGGUUUAAUACCUGUUUAGUUCUCGAAAUCUUGGUAAUCAAUACAAUUCAGAAUUUUCUUCUACCUUUCUUUUCCUUUUCUCUACUGUUUUAUGCCAUUUUGACAGGAAGUUCCUAUCAGUUAUUUACCAUUUCUCUACCAGAGUUAACAAUCUAGAGUUUCACUAAAUUAACACCAUUGAACUUUUUAUUUUAUUUUUGUUUUUGUCAGUUGAUAAAUGUAGACAUACAUGAAUCUGGAUUCUGGAUGUUUCUUGUUGAGCUUGGGUCCUAAAGUGCUUUAAAUUCUUGGUUAUACAAAUAUUUAUUAACUCUCCUGGAUAUCAUAGGUGUACUUUUUAUUGCAUAACUCACAGUUUGACAUGUAAAUGCGUUUCCAUUUAAAUUCUUCUCAUUACAAUUUUCAAAUCCAACUUUCUUUUUGCUCAAAAAUUUCAAUGGCCUCUUUUGUUCUUAGAAUCUCUUUAGAAUUUUCUUUAAUGCUUUUGUUUUGUUUACUUUAAAUUUUUGUCUUCUUAAACAUCUGACUUUCACUAUCAUUAUCAUCAUAAUGGACGUCUGUGAUAGGUAACAAGCUCUCUUUGAGACAGAGCCAAUCUCCCAGGGCAACAAUUUGCAAAUUCAUUCAACAAAAACUCCAAAAUACAAGAAAAAUUAUUUAUACCCCAUUAACAGUUUUGGGCAAUGUCUAACAGAAUCAGUUACUCUCUCUCUCUCCUCUCUCAACGCCUCAGUAUAGCCACAUAGUCCCUCCACCAACGUGGCUGACAAUCUCCUCCCCUGUCUCCCUUUGACUCCCCUCUGCUUCUGCCCGAGCAUUGCAGGUAGACUUGGGUGCUUCUUCAUUCAGUUGGGCUGUGUUGUCCUCCCAACUUUUCAUUUGCUCUUGGACAGCAUUCGGGUCCAGUUCUAUUGGGCCUAUCUCUUGGGCUUGGCUAACAUUACACCCUUCCACGAAUUCAACCUUGUCCUCAAGGUUGUGUAAUUUGUACAUGUCUAUGAAGGCUUCAAAAUCUUCCCAUGUUGCAUCUUCGGGUGGGCACAAAGACCACUGGACUAAGAUCUGUCGGCUGGUUUUGUUAGUAGUCUUGUGAAUGUGGGUAGCUAGGAUAGCCAAUGGAGUCAUGAGCGGUCGGUUGGCUAGGCUCAACGCUGGCAAGGGAAAACUAUUGGUUGGCUGCUCACCACGAUGCGGCUUCAGUAGGGAGACAUGGAAAGUAGGAUGAAUUCGGCUACCUUGGGGCAGCUUCAAUGUGUAAGCAACUGGAGGGCUAUGACUUCGAAUGGGCCAAAGUAACGACGACAUAGCUUGGAAUUUAAACGGUGAGCAACCGUUGUUUGUCGGUAUGGUUGGAGCUUAACAAGGACGAGGUCACCAAGUUUGAAAUCAAUAUCUCUUCGUUUUUUAUUAGCUUGUUGGCACAUAUGAUUCUGAGCUCUUUGAAGAUUUUGCUUCAGUUCUUGCAAAAUAGCAUCCCGAGUAAGCAGUCUUCCUCUACUGCCUGAAUGGUUGUGGCACCACGCGUGUAUGCGGGAAUCGUUGGGGGAGUGCGUCCAUAUACCGCCUGAAAUGGUGUCAUACCAAUAGCGGAGUGGAAAUUAGUGUUGUAAUGAUACUCAGCCCACAACAGGAACUUACUCCACUGUUUCGGAUUGUAGGCUGUAAAGGCGCGUAAAUAUUAUUCCAAGUAUCUAUUAGUUACUUCGGUGUGACCAUCCGUUUGUGGGUGGUAAGCGGAACUCAUUUUCAGCGUUGUACCCAUCAAUUCAAAGAGCUUCUUCCAAAAUGUACUGGUGAAAAUCGGAUCUCUAUCCGAAAUAAUAGUUCGUGGUAGCCCAUGAAGCCGAAUCACCAUAUGGGAGAAGAGAUCAGCGACCUUUGUUGCAGAGUAGUGGUUCGGUAAUGCCCCAAAAUGAGCAUACUUGGUGAGUCUGUCAAUCACCACUAAUAUAUUGGUGACACCAUGCGAAUUAGGCAGCCCAACAAUAAAAUCCAUAGCUAAGUCUUCCCAAAUCCGUUCUGGAAUUGCAAGUGGCUGAAGCAAUCCGUAGGGGGCUGUCGGAGAGUACUUAAUCGUUUGGCAAGCUGAACAAGCGAAUACAAACUAGCGCACAUCCUUGCGCAUCCCGUGCCAGAAAAAUUUUGCUCCCAACCGUAAUAGAGUCUGAUCAACUCCUGCGUGACCCCCAACUGGAGAUGCAUGAAAUUCUUGCAGUAUUUGUUUCUUGAAAUUGGAAUGGUCGCUGAUAAAUAGUUUCUGGCGGUAGUAGAGUAAGCCGUCCCAGCUUGAAUAUACCGUCUCAUCUAAUUUCCCUUGUUGCAGCUGCUCGUGUAAAAGGCGUAAAUCUGGACAGGUUAUGUUCUCCUGGCGCAGUGCUUCUAGAAACUCAUAACAGCCGCUACUCAUUGCCAAAUAUAGAACCGAGAGAGACCCUUCAUUCCACCUUGACAGUGCAUCAGUCGCAGAGUUUUGUUUGCCAGCCUUGUAUUCGAUAGAGAAUUGGAAACCCAGUAGUUUGCGGAUGAAGUGUUGUUGUUUCGGAGUUUGAAUGACCUGUGUUAACUGUGUUAACAGUUCCCGUAAACUUCUAUGAUCCGUUCGAAUGAUGAAAUGCCGUCCAAGCAGAUAUUGGCGCCACUUAGUGACAGCUUCUACAAUUGCUCUCAUUUCCCUUAUGUAUGCCGAGGCCCCAACAAAUCUUGGACCGAGCUUCUUACUGAAAUAGGCCAGGGGAUGUCCCUCUUGCAUCAAUACCCCCCCUAUGCUGACAUUAGAGGCAUCCGUCUCAACAAUAAACUGUUUCGAAAAAUCUGGCAGCCGCAGUACUGGCGUGUCCGUCAUGGCCGAUUUCAGCGCUUCAAAUGUCCGCACUGCUUCCUCCGACCAAUGGAAGUUAUCCCGUUUAAGGAGUUCCGUGAGUGGCGCAGCAAUGGUGGCAUAAUGAGCUACAAAUCGUCGAUAAUAUCCAGUGAGACCCAGGAACCCGCGCAAUUGUUUCAGUGAUGUCGGUAUUGGCCACUCAACCAUUGCAGUGAUUUUGGAUGGGUCGGCUUGUACCCCAUGGGGAGAUACCAAAUGUCCCAAAUAUUCUAUUGUUCGCUGAAAGAACUGACACUUAUUGGCCUUUGCAUAGAAACAAUUUUCCCGAAGUAGUUGGAGGACCUUGCCGAGGUGACCCACAUGUUCUUCCUCGCUGCUGCUAUAUAUUAGGAUGUCAUCGAAGAAAACAAUGACAAACUGUCUCAAAAAUGGGCGAAAAACUUGGGUCAUUGCUGCCUGAAAAGUCGACGGGGCAUUGGUAAGUCCAAAUAGCAUGACCGUAAACUCGUAAUGCCCCUCGUGAGUCCGGAACGCUGUCUUAUGGAUAUCUCGGCGAUCCAUCCGGAUUUGGUGAUAACUGGCCCUGAGAUCUAGCUUCGAAAAUACCUCUGCAUUGGCAAGUUCAUCCAAGAGUUCAUCAAUUGUCGGAAUUGGAAAUCUGUCCUUGACUGUGAUACCAUUGAGGGCCCUAUAGUCGACACAAAAACGCCAAGACUCGUCCUUCUUUUUAACUAACAAAACAAGCGACGAGUAUGGGCUGGUACUUGGGCGAAUGAAACCCAUCUUCGUCAUUUCUUUAACGAGCUGCUCGAUUACAUCUUUUUGGAAAUAUGAGUAUCGGUAGGGUCGCACAUUCACAGGGAAUGAGCCUGACUGUAAAAAGAUUCUGCGGUCCAUCGUCCGAUAGGGUGGCAGCUGUUUGGGUUCCUCAAACGCGUCCCCAAACUGAGUUAGGAUCCCCUUCCCUUGUGGAGGAAAUGCAGCCUCCAAAACAGGCAGCUCAGACACCCGCUUACCAUCUUCCUCAAUUACGGCAGCCAGCCUAAAUAGACUCCGAACCUCCCUGUCUUGGAACAGAGCAUUGAACUGUGAAUAUGACAGCUGGUGCGCAUAUAUAUCACGAGACCCAGCCAACUUCACUGCACUUCCUUGCCACACAAAUUCCAUGGUUAAUGCCUUAUGAUCAUGCACACACGGGCCCAAGGUUUGCAGCCAUUGCAUUCCAAGAACUACAUCCAACCCACAUAUUGGCAGCACGUACAGAUCAACCUCAAAUCUGUGACCCUGUAAUAAUAGUUCCACUCCUUUGUAGAUUUUUGAACAAAGCAGAAAAUUACCGUUCCCCAUGUACACCUUAAACCGUUUGGUCUCCUCCCACGGUAGCUGCAAUUGAUCUGCUAAGGACUCCUGAAUAAAGUUAUUGUUACUCCCCGUAUCAAUCAAAACCUCUAAUGUUUCUGCCCCAUGUCUCGCCUUGAUUCUGAAAAUCCGCGGAUUCAUCGAAUUGGAUAGUGAAUGGAGGCUAACUUCGUCCUCGGGAGUGUCAUCGGCUUCUUGCAACUCUCUAUCAUCGAUAGAGGCCCCAUCUUCUUCCUCAUGUCCACACAAGAUAAGCAUACGAUUCUUACACUUGCCCAUAAUUAAACUUCUCAUCACAAGUAAAACAAAAGCCCUUAUCCCUUCGAUCUUUCAAUUCUGCCGGGGACAGCCGUUUAAUUGGUAACGAAGAAUUACCCAGAAUUGGUGCUUUGGUUGAAGCUGUCGGUGAAGGUGUGGAAAGCUUGUGCACGGCUUGUGGCAUAGGGCUGGUGGGUGGUGUGAAAUUGGUCGCACGAGAAGGCCAAUUGGGUCGCCCCAAUUCGAAACGAGUACGGCUGCUAAGGUCAUCAUGACGGUCUUCAAACAAUUGAGCCUUCGCCAUUGCAUCAGCCAAAUCCAUUGGUUUUGACAUUGUGGGAAAAUCAAACUAUUUUUAGGAACAUUCCUAACUUAGAAUGAUUCUUGUAAGACUGUCAAAUAUUCAAAGAUUUGACAGCUAUUCUUAUUCUAGGAAACUUAUUAAUUUGCUAAUUUAUUUUCUGUAUAUUUGUGAUUUGGUUCACACCUAUCAUAUACUUGUAUAAAUAUAUGUUCACUGAAUAGAAAUAAUAACAGAUAAAAUUUUCCCAAUAUUUGUGACUUGGUAUCAGAGCCAAACCUACCCUUUCUCUCUCUGCCUUCUUCAUUUCCUUCAACCACCAUGUCAGAUGUUACCCAAGAAUCCACUCCAGCCAUUCCUAAUAUUGUUGAAUCCUCUAAAAUUACCCCUGAAUCUCACCCAGUUCAGCUCACCACCAUUCGACUUAAUGGUGAAUUUUUUUUGAGAUGGUCUCAGUCAAUCCGGAUGUACAUGCGAGGACGUGGGAAGAUGGGCUACCUAACGGGAGAGAAGAAGACUCCCAAGGAGGACGAUCCGACGUACGCUGUCUGGGACGCAGAGAAGUCUAUGGUGAUGACUUGGCUUGUUAACUCUAUGGAAGAAGACAUCAGCUCCAACUACAUGUGUUACCCAACUACUAAGGAACUCUGGGACAAUGUAAAUCAGAUGUAUUCUGACUUGGAGAAUCAAUCUUAGAUUUUUGAGUUGAAUCUCAAACUCAGUGACAUAAAGCAAGGUGAGGAUACUAUUACUAAAUAUUUCACUUCUCUUAAAAGAAUAUGGCAGGAUCUUGAUCUCUUUGAUACUUAUGAAUGGAAAUCUACUGAGGAUGGACGACAUCAUAAGAAAACUGUUGAGAAUAAUCGGAUUUACGAGUUCUUGGCUGGCCUUCAUGUCGAGUUUGAUGAGGUAAGGGGGAGAAUUAUUGGUAGAUCACCGCUGCCUCCUAUUAGUGAGGUGUUCACUGAGGUGAGAAGGGAAGAAAGUCGAAGGAACGUUAUGUUGGGAAAGAAGGCUGCUGGAACUAUUGUUGAGGGAUCAGCCUUGGCUUCCAAUAUGGGAGCAGAAGCUCUAAACCUGCCUGGAACAAAUCUGAUGAGAAACCACAGGUGUGGUGCGACUUUUGUAACAAACCUCGCCAAUAUCGUGAGACUUGCUGGCAGAUUCAUGGAAAACCAGCAAACUGGAAGAGCAAAUCUGGGCGGGGACGUGGAGCACCUACAGCAAAUGAAGCUGAAACUAGCCCCUUUACCAAAGAGCAAA